CCUACGGGAGGCAGCAGUGAGGAAUAUUGGUCAAUGGGCGCGAGCCUGAACCAGCCAAGUAGCGUGAAGGAUGACUACCCUACGGGUUGUAAACUUCUUUUAUAAAGGAAUAAAGUGAGGCACGUGUGCCUUUUGUAUGUACUUUAUGAAUAAGGAUCGGCUAACUCCGUGCCAGCAGCCGCGGUUAUUCCGAGGAUCCAGGCGUUAUCCGGAUUUAAUGGGGUUAAAGGGAGAGUAGAUGGGUUGGUAAGUCAGUUGUGAAAGUUUGCGGCUCAACCGUAAAAUUGCAAUUGAUACUGGCAGUCUUGAGUACAGUUGAGGUAGGCGGAAUUCGUGGUGUAGCGGUGAAAUGCGUAGAUAUCACGAAGAACUCCGAUUGCGAAGGCAGCUUACUAAACUGCCACUGACAUUGAUGCUCGAAAGUGUGGGUAUCAAACAGGAUUAGAUACCCUUGUAGUC
rnacentral:rRNA from 1 species